UAUUACAGCUUGCAAUGCCAACCCUACUAUUCCUUGUUUUCUCUCUUUCUACUUCAGCGCCGCCUUCUUACCAUCUUUCUUCAUAAUCUCUCACGAAAAUUCCUUCGAUUUAGAAGCCAAUCCAACUCGCUCCAUGGAUUGUGUUGACGGUGUAUUCUCUGUUAAAGGAUUCAUAUUAGAGUAUGAGAUCGUGAUUAGGGAUUGCGAUGGAAUCGGAAUAUCUCACGGAUAACUCCUAUCAAUAGGGAUGUGUGGCAUAGGAAAUGAUCGAUAUGGUCUCCAAAAUGAAGAAGAAUCGGAAUUCAUAUGGGAAGCCAGAUUGUGUACAUGAAGAUACAUACGCAUUUGGGAGGCAUAUUGGGAUAGGCUUGAAGUGAAAGCUAAAUCUGAACAACAGAUACAUACGCAUUUGGGAGGCAUAUUGGGAUAGGCUUGAAGUGAAAGCUAAAUUUGAACAACAAUGCAAAAAUAGGAUGAGUGAGGUAGCAGGACUUGACAUACCGGAGGAUCUAGAUCAACUAUUGAGCACUUUCACACAUUGCGGGAUAAACUUUAAAAGGAGCUUGAUCUGUUUGAGUGGUUUGCUCAUACGCACAAAAAGAAGGAUGGUACAUUCGUUGAUGAGAGGUCAAAGAAAAUCGCUGACGAAAUACAAGCAUGGCGUGAUGCUGCAAUGCAAGAGGCGGAAGGGUCAACUGAGCCACCAGACAUGUCACAAAUGUAUGUGAAUGUUGUUGGUGGGUAAAAAAACAAUGUAUUUAUGGCUUUGGGACUAAGUCAUCUGCAUUUAUCAGCGGGAAUAGCUGUAGUUCAUAUGCUACUUCACAACUUCAACAAGAGAGAAGGAAGGAGAUGGUGAACAAAUAGUUAAAGUCUAUGCGAGUUGAGAUGGAGGCUCAAAUGGAAGCUAAACUACAAGUUGAAAGAACUCAAAUGCAGACUCAAAUGCAAGCUCAGAUUCAGGCUCAAAUGCAAGUUCAGAUUGCAAGUUUGAUGGAUGAGUUGCGUCGCAACGACAUGCUAUUCACUUCAAGUACUCUAGCUGAACAUUUAGCUAAUUCAAAUGAUGAAAACUUAGAAGA